UACGAAGGUGGCAAGCGUUGUUCGGAUUUACUGGGCGUACAGGGAGCGUAGGCGGUUGGGUAAGCCCUUCGUGAAAUCUCCGGGCCUAACCCGGAAAGUGCGGAGGGGACUGCUCGGCUAGAGGAUGGGAGAGGAGCGCGGAAUUCCCGGUGUAGCGGUGAAAUGCGUAGAGAUCGGGAGGAAGGCCGGUGGCGAAGGCGGCGCUCUGGAACAUUUCUGACGCUGAGGCUCGAAAGCGUGGGGAGUAAACAGG
rnacentral:rRNA from 1 species